GAAAUGCGAUAAGUAGUGUGAAUUGCAGAAUUCAGUGAAUCAUCGAAUCUUUGAACGCACAUUGCGCCCCUUGGUAUUCCAUGGGGCAUGCCUGUUCGAGCGUCAUUUGUACCCUCAAGCUUUGCUUGGUGUUGGGCGUCUUGUCCUCUUCUGGAGGACUCGCCUCAAAACAAUUGGCAGCCGGCAUAUUGGUAUCGGAGCGCAGCACAAGUCGCACUUCUAAGGUUGACCUCGGAUCAGGUAGGGAUACCCGCUGAACUUAA
rnacentral:misc_RNA from 1 species